rnacentral:rRNA from 1 species
UGCCAGCCGCGCGGUAAUACGAAGGGACCUAGCGUAGUUCGGAAUUACUGGGCUUAAAGAGUUCGUAGGUGGUUGAAAAAGUUAGUGGUGAAAUCCCAGAGCUUAACUCUGGAACUGCCAUUAAAACUUUUCAGCUAGGGUAUGAUAGAGGAAAGCAGAAUUUCUAGUGUAGAGAUGAAAUUCGUAGAUAUUAGAAAGAAUACCAAUUGCGAAGGCAGCUUUCUGGAUCAUUACUGACACUGAGGAACGAAAGCAUGGGUAGCGAAGAGGAUUAGAUACCCUCGUAGUCCAUGCCGUAAACGAUGUGUGUUAGACGUUGGAAAUUUAUUUUCAGUGUCGCAGCGAAAGCGAUAAACACACCGCCUGGGGAGUACGACCACAAGGUUAAAACUCAAAUGAAUUGACGGGGACCCGCACAAGUAGUGGAGCAUGUGGUUUAAUUCGAAGAUACGCGCAGAACCUUACCAACACUUGACAUGUUCGUCGCGACUCUAAGAGAUUAGAGUUUUCGGUUCGGCCGGACGAAACACAGGUGCUGCAUGGUUGUCGUCAGCUCGUGUCGUGAGAUGUUGGGUUAAGUCCCGCAACGAGCGCAACCCU